rnacentral:piRNA from 1 species
UAGUGUCCUACCCACAGUCCCUAUGCAAC